rnacentral:rRNA from 1 species
AUGAACGCUAGCGGCAGGCCUAACACAUGCAAGUCGAGGGGCAUCAUGGCGUAGCAAUACGCUGAUGGCGACCGGCGCACGGGUGCGUAACGCGUAUGGAACCUACCCACCGCAGGGGGAUAACCCGGAGAAAUUCGGACUAAUACCGCAUAACAUAUAAUAGUGGCAUCACUAUUAUCUUAAAGAUUUAUCACUUAUGGAUGGGCAUGCGCAUGAUUAGCUAGUUGGUAGGGUAAUGGCUUACCAAGGCAACGAUCAUUAGGGGUUCUGAGAGGAAGGUCCCCCACACUGGUACUGAGACACGGACCAGACUCCUACGGGAGGCAGCAGUGAGGAAUAUUGGUCAAUGGGCGAGAGCCUGAACCAGCCAAGUCGCGUGAAGGAAGACUGUCCUAUGGAUUGUAAACUUCUUUUAUACAGGAAUAAAGUGGGUUACGUGUAACCUUUUGCAUGUACUGUAUGAAUAAGGAUCGGCUAACUCCGUG